CUGAAUCUGGGUUGCCUGCAUGGGGCGCUCUCCCGGACUGGGGCCUCGCGCCCGGAAAACCCACUGGACACAGCUGCGGUGCCGGCAAACCCUGAGAGGCAACAGGGCAGAGACUUUGGGGCUCAGAGAUGUGCCAGGGUCUCUUCAGCCCGCCCCUCGCCAGGCUGGCGCCCUCCAGGGGCUCCUGGCCGGGGACGUGGGCCUGCGGGCCUUCCCUGGGGGCCGAGGUGAGACCCUGCACCUGCCUGGCGCCCGGUGCUUGGGUGACUCAGGCAGGCUGUUGGCGGGAGCCCGAAGCUACAAACAGGCUCCUUAAAGGGUUGGACAAGAGCCGCCCACCACGCUUCCACCGCCCCGGCCCCGGAGGGGGUGCUGGCCGGGCCCCCUGCAGGUCAGAUGGCCCAGAGCCCGCCCCCUGCUCCUGCUGGCCCCUCCCAGGUGGCCCCCUGCCCCAAGUCCCCACCCAGCCCCUGGCGCUGGCAGGCAACAGCCACUUGCUGGUGGGUGGCCAGGAGCGCGUGCCCGGGUUGGGGGCGGGGACGCUGCCUGCCCUGCACCCACAGCCGCCCCUCCCAGGGCCCCUCCCUCACCCCAGCCUUCCCCCCAGGCCCGCGCCCCGGCCGCCAGGGUGGGCCGCUGGGAAGAAGCCGUCGGUGACGUGGCCGCUCCAUGCGGGCGGCCGGGGGCUGUCAGACUGGGUCACCCGAAUCCAGGGUGAUGAUAAAACCUGUCCUUUCCAAUUAGGCCACAGCCCCGGAGCCCCGCUCAUUACAGCACGGGCAGCGCGGCCGGCGGCGCCCGGAGGGGUCACUCGAGGGUCAUCAGUGUGGAUGACCCAUUGUUUUCUGCAAUUAGGCCACGGCGGCGCCUGGCGGGGAAGCACCUAGCGGCCGUGGGCGCACCCCGGGGGUCCUGGGUCCCGGCGGGCUGAUGAAGAAGAGGCCGAGGGCGUGAUUCCCAACAUCGUGGGCAGGUGCAGGGCCCAGUGGCUUCCCCGGCCACCUGGAGAACAUUCCGGAGGGUGAAAGCAGCCCUCUGGGUGGCCGUGGAGACCGCGUGGGAUUCUCUGCUCUUAGAGAAACAUCUUAGAGUCCCACACCUUCC
rnacentral:lncRNA from 1 species